rnacentral:rRNA from 1 species
UACUAGAGUAGCACUCGCAUAUCAAUAAGCGGAGGAAAAGAAACUAACAAGGAUUCCCCUAGUAACGGCGAGUGAAGCGGGAAGAGCUCAAAUUUGAAAUCUUAAAGGGUUUCCCUUUACGAAUUGUAGUUUAAAGAAGUGUUUUCUGUUGAGGUUUUGGUAAAAGUUCUUUGGAAUAGGACAUCAUAGAGGGUGAGAAUCCCGUAUUUGACCUUUACUUUCAACUUUGUGAUACACUUUCAAAGAGUCGGAUUGUUUGGGAAUGCAGUCCAAAAUGGGUGGUAAAUUUCAUCUAAAGCUAAAUAUUGGCGAGAGACCGAUAGCGAACAAGUACCGUGAGGGAAAGAUGAAAAGAACUUUGAAAAGAGAGUUAAACAGUACGUGAAAUUGUCAAAAGGGAAGCGUUUGACACCAGUGUUGUUUUUCUGAAAAUCAAUUAAAGAACUGUUUAUGCUAAGUUGUUUAGACUUUAUCAGCUAACUGUUUAGUUUUGAGCUUUUCUUUAAUGCACUUUUCAGUUAACAAGUCAACAUCAAUUUCUUUUGCUGUAAAAAAGCUUGAGGAAGGUGGCUUGAGAUUCGUCUUAAGUGUUUAUAGCCUCUUGCCUAUGCAGUCGGAGAGACUGAGGUCUGCAGCGUAGAUCCUUCGGGGCUAAAUGCAUUUGUGCUAAGUUAUAGCAUUUUAUAGACAACUUGUUGACUAUGAUUUGUCUUGUAGCUUACUCGCUUAUGUUAUUUUACCUACGCUUAGGAUGUUGAGCGCAUGUCUCUCUCU